rnacentral:rRNA from 1 species
AUCCUACGGGAGGCAGCAGUGGGGAAUUUCGGACAAUGGGCGAAAGCCUGAUCCAGCAAUGCCGCGUGCAGGAUGAAGGCCUUCGGGUUGUAAACUGCUUUUGUACGGAACGAAAAAGCUCCUUCUAAUACAGGGGGCCCAUGACGGUACCGUAAGAAUAAGCACCGGCUAACUACGUGCCAGCAGCCGCGGUAAUAGCCAGCAGCCGCGGU